GGGGAUCGCAAGACCUUGCGCUUUUGGAGCGGCCGAUGUCUGAUUAGCUAGUUGGUGGGGUAAAGGCUUACCAAGGCGACGAUCAGUAGCUGGUCUGAGAGGAUGRCCAGCCACACUGGGACUGAGACACGGCCCAGACUCCUACGGGAGGCAGCAGUGGGGAAUUUUGGACAAUGGGCGCAAGCCUGAUCCAGCAAUGCCGCGUGAGUGAAGAAGGCCUUCGGGUUGUAAAGCUCUUUCAGUUGAGAAGAAAAGAACGUGAAUAAUACGCGCGUUUUAUGACGGUAUCAACAGAAGAAGCACCGGCUAACUACGUGCCAGCAGCCGCGGUAAUACGUAGGGUGCGAGCGUUAAUCGGAAUUACUGGGCGUAAAGGGUGCGCAGGCGGUUCUGAAAGUCAGAUGUGAAAUCCCUGGGCUUAACCUAGGAAUUGCGUUUGAAA
rnacentral:rRNA from 1 species